AGUGAACGCUGGCGGCAGGCCUAACACAUGCAAGUCGAACGGCAGCACAGUAAGAGCUUGCUCUUACGGGUGGCGAGUGGCGGACGGGGGAGGAAUACAUCGGAAUCUACUUUUUCGUGGGGGAUAACGUAGGGGAACUUACGCUAAUACCGCAUACGACCUACGGGAGAAAGCAGGGGAUCUUCGGACCUUGCGCGAUUGAAUGAGCCGAUGUCGGAUUAGCUAGUUGGCGGGGUAAAGGCCCACCAAGGCGACGAUCCGUAGCUGGUCUGAGAGGAUGAUCAGCCACACUGGAACUGAGACACGGUCCAGACUCCUACGGGAGGCCGCAGUGGGGAAUAUUGGACAAUGGGCGCAAGCCUGAUCCAGCCAUACCGCGUGGGUGAAGAAGGCCUUCGGGUUGUAAAGCCCUUUUGUUGGGAAAGAAAAGCAGCAGGUUAAUACCCCGCUGUUCUGACGGUACCCAAAGAAUAAGCACCGGCUAACUUCGUG
rnacentral:rRNA from 1 species